UCAGACGAUGCGUCAUGCAUAUCAAUAAGCGGAGGAAAAGCUGUUACCUACGCUUAGGAUGUUGACGAGACUGUCGAUCUCAUCUAUACAUGACUCUGUGCAUAUCAAUAAGCGGAGGAAAAGAAACUAACAAGGAUUCCCUUAGUAACGGCGAGUGAAGCGGGAAGAGCUCAAAUUUGAAAUCUUCAAGGUUUUACCUUGACGAAUUGUAGUUUAAAGAAGUGUUUUCUGCUGAAGUUUUGGUAAAAGUUCUUUGGAAUAGGACAUCAUAGAGGGUGAGAAUCCCGUAUUUGACCAUUAUUUUCAGCCUUGUGAUACACUUUCAAAGAGUCGGAUUGUUUGGGAAUGCAGUCCAAAAUGGGUGGUAAAUUUCAUCUAAAGCUAAAUAUUGGCGAGAGACCGAUAGCGAACAAGUACCGUGAGGGAAAGAUGAAAAGAACUUUGAAAAGAGAGUUAAACAGUACGUGAAAUUGUCAAAAGGGAAGCGUUUGACACCAGUGUUGUUUUCUCGAAAAUCAAUUAAAAAUGGCUCGAUUUUGUAUUGCUUGAGACCUUAAAAGUUCACUGCUACAUUUUUCGUGUCUCUUUUAAUGCACUUUUCGUUUAACAAGUCAACAUCAGUUUCUUUUGUUGUAAAAGGGUCAUUGGAAGGUGGCUUUCUUUUCGGAGAAAGUGUUUAUAGCCUUUGGCCUCUGCAAUCGGAGAGACUGAGGUCUGCAGCGUAGACUCUUCGGGGUUAGAUACAUUUGUGCUAAGUUAUAGCUUUUUAUAGACAACUUGUUGACUAUAAUUAGUCUUGUAGCUUACUCGCUUAUGCUAUUUUACCUACGCUUAGGAUGUUGACGAUCAGCUGAGCGCG
rnacentral:rRNA from 1 species